rnacentral:rRNA from 1 species
UGGACCUUACGGGGGGCAGCAGUGAGGAAUAUUGGUCAAUGGGCGAGAGCCCGAACCAGCCAAGUCGCGUGAGGGAUGACCGCCCUAUGGGUUGUAAACCUCUUUUGUAUGGGGGGAAUAAGCUUUACGAGUAGAGUGAUGACAGUACCAUACGAAUAAGCAUCGGCUAACUCCGUGCCAGCAGCCGCGGUAAUACGUAGGGUGCAAGCGUUAUCCGGAUUUAUUGGGCGUAAAGGGCUCGUAGGCGGUUCGUCGCGUCCGGUGUGAAAGUCCAUCGCUUAACGGUGGAUCCGCGCCGGGGACGG